rnacentral:lncRNA from 1 species
CCAGAGCUCUGGUCGUUGGCAUACUUCUCUUUCUCCUCCACAGGGAGUUCAAAGAAUUUCUGCCCAACUUUCCUAACACGAUCCAUGAGCUCCUCGGAGAUGCCAUGGUUAACAAGGUGCAUCACACCCCAUUCCAUGGCAGCUUUUUUCAGCUCCUGCCGACAUCUCUCCUGGACCUCUUUGUCCUCCGACUCGAUAUCUGUCAAAUCGAUGGUCGGAACCUGAGGCCCUUCCUCUUUUUUCUCUUCUUCAAACACGUUACCUAUGCUUGUAAGCUCUUCUUGAGGCCUG